rnacentral:rRNA from 1 species
AAUAGGUCUUCAUUACCAACAGCUAUAAUAUACUUGAUGUGAUAUUCCACGUGGAUCACUGUGGUAAUCUAGAGCUAUACAUGCACCAAAGCUCUGAUUGUUUGACGAGCGCAUCUAUAGACCAAAAACCAAUCGAGAUAGUUCGUGCAUUCGUGCUCGGACCUCUCGUAACUUUGGUGACUCUGAAUAGCUUAGCUGAUCGCAUGGUCAAGUACCGGCGACUUAUCUAUCAAGUGUCUGCCUUAUCAACUUUCGAUGGUAGUUUAUAUGCCUACCAUGGUUGUAACGGGUAACGGAGAAUAAGGGUUCGACUCCGGAGAGGGAGCCUGAGAAACGGCUACCACAUCCAAGGAAGGCAGCAGGCGCGCAAAUUACCCACUCUCAGCACGAGGAGGUAGUGACGAAAAAUAACGAGACCGUUCUCUUCGAGGCCGGUUAUCGGAAUGAGUACAACUUAAAGCAGUUAACAAGGAUCUAUGAGAGGGCAAGUCUGGUGCCAGCAGCCGCGGUAAUUCCAGCUCUCAAAGUGUAUAUCGUCAUUGCUGCGGUUAAAAAGCUCGUAGUUGGAUUUAAGCUGAAUGACUCGGUCCGUCCAUAGGGCGUGAACUGAGAUCAUCAGCUAAUUUUGCUGGUUUUGUCCAGGUGGCCUUAAUCGGUCGCCUUCACUGGCUAGCGAGUUUAUUUUGAAAAAAUUAGAGUGCUCAACGCGGGCUUAAUGCCUGAAUAUUCGUGCAUGGAAUAAUGGAAUAGGAUCUCGGUUCUAUUUUGUUGGUUUUCUGAUCUGAGAUAAUGGUUAAGAGGGACAGACGGGGGCAUUCGUAUCGCUGCGUGAGAGGUGAAAUUCUUGGACCGUAGCGAGACGCCCGACUGCGAAAGCAUUGCCAAGAAUUGUUUGUGCUU